CCUACGGGUGGCAGCAGUGAGGAAUAUUGGUCAAUGGACGCAAGUCUGAACCAGCCAAGUAGCGUGCAGGAUGACGGCCCUCCGGGUUGUAAACUGCUUUUAGUUGGGAAUAAAAGGGGGCUCGUGAGCCCCGUAUUGUAUGUACCAUCAGAAAAAGGACCGGCUAAUUCCGUGCCAGCAGCCGCGGUAAUACGGAAGGUCCGGGCGUUAUCGGGAUUUAUUGGGUUUAAAGGGUGCGUAGGCGGGCAUUUAAGCCGGCGGUCAAAUGUCGGGGCUAAACCCCGGCCUGUCGUCGGAACUGGGUGCCUUGAGUGGGCGAGAAGUAUGCGGAAUGCGUGGUGUAGCGGUGAAAUGCAUAGAUAUCACGCAGAACCCCGAUUGCGAAGGCAGCAUACCGGCGCCCUACUGACGCUGAGGCACGAAAGUGCGGGUAUCGAACAGGAUUAGAUACCCUUGUAGUC
rnacentral:rRNA from 1 species